rnacentral:rRNA from 1 species
UACGGGGGGAGCAAGCGUUGUUCGGAUUUACUGGGCGUAAAGGGCGCGUAGGCGGUCAGCACAAGUCAGUUGUGAAAUCUCCGGGCUUAACUCGGAAAGGUCAACUGAUACUGUGCGACUAGAGUGCGGAAGGGGCAACUGGAAUUCUCGGUGUAGCGGUGAAAUGCGUAGAUAUCAGGAAGAACACCUAUGGCGAAGGCAGCUCUCUGGGACGGUACUGACGCUGAGACGCGAAAGCGUGGGGAGCGAACAGG